UAGAAAUGUUAGAUACCUUAAUUAUUUGUAAUUUUGGCAAGGACAAUUCAUCACGUCCCCUGAAAACAUGAUUUUGUAAAAUAUCACUUAUUGGCAUCUCCGGGCGGCAAGCCAGAUUAAUUUCCUGAUAAUCUUUACUACAGCAUUCUGAUUGUUAUUAAUUGCUACAUAUUACCGCUUUUUUGUAAAUCGAUGUUUGUUUACAUUAUCAACAAAUGUGAGUAACAUUCUAGGUCGAGUUGUCGUUCGUGGUGUAUAGUUUGUUCCAAACCAUUGUUUGUUUCUGGUACAGGUUGGCAG
rnacentral:lncRNA from 1 species